UUUUAUUGUAACUAGCAUCUGAUAACAUUUUUUCAUUUUGUAACGGGUCUCUAAUAGGUCAUGUUGAUUUAAAUUUUUGGCAGCUUCCAUGUGAAUUUUUGGGUCAGAGCAUUGCUUCUGUUAGCUUGCAGGGUCUUGCUGUCGCUCUCCUUUGGGAUGAAGCUAGGCACCAGACUUCAGGGAAGUUAACCACAUCAUACUACAUUCUUAUUUUGAUGGAGUUAGACAAUGUUGUUUCGAGUUUCCAAUCUUCUCAAGUGACUCUCAUCUAUCAAGGUUUGUGGAUUGAUUGAUGUUGGUGAUCUUCUUCGCCGAGUUUUGCCUCUCACGUUUUCUGCAAACAUCAAAAGACCUUCAUGAUGACCAAUCAAGAGUAUAGGACUUGGACGUAUGAUUUUGAAUCGCGGUCUCCCUUAUGUCCAAAGCCGAAAAUUGACCAGAUUAUAAUUGUCGCAAACAAUUUGUGAUCGAAAGCGAAAUAUUUAACUUCUUGGCUAAGAGGAUCCCAACUUCAAACUUUGCUUUACGCCUCUAAAAUGGUUGAGCCGACCGUAGAUACAGUCUUUGGUGGCAAGCGAAUGGGACGGUAUAUGGUGGUUGAAAAAAUUAAGGAGCUGUAUUUUUUUUUUUGUUUGGCUCACGAGGAGAUCGAAGAUAAAAUGUGAAGAUUGGCCUAUUUGGAGGGGAUUUGAUGUUGGGUUGCAAGGGGUGGGCAUAUAGUUUGUUUUAUUUUUACUGUUUUAAUGGAACGAAAAGUGGCUCAACAUUCAUUUACUUUCUAAAGUCAAAAUGCAAAUAAUGGAAAAGAGCAGGCUUUACUGAAAGAGCUUUGUACUUUCAAUUUAGGUAUAGGACCUGAGUUUGUUUGAAUUGAACUUAUAUAUGUGCUAUUUUAACUUAUAUCUUGCAAUAAU